UUUCCUUGCUUCGAAUAUUAUUAAUUAAAUCAAAACAUCAUUACUUGUCCUUUCCUCUAAGACCCAUUAAGAUACUACAUAUAUAUAUAAAUGUACGGACAUCAACGUCCGAGACGUUCGUCCAUGCCAAACGGUAACGCGUACAGGAAACAUUUGUUCAAAAUGACUUUGACUUUAGCUAAAUUUUCAAAUUGGAAUUAGCUAAUGGUCGUUCGCUUUGUAAAUGAUUAUUUCUUUUUCUUCUUUUUGCCUGCAGAUUAAGCCCUCCCUGUUUGACGGUUUAAAUUUAUUAAAUUAAAUUUAUUAAACCGAAUAUAUAUAUAUAUUCGUUUGUACUACGAUUACUCUCAUACUCUAUGUAUGGUAUUAUCAUAUCGACGCUAUCAGUUCUUACAGUAUCACGAUCAGAGUCAAUUUUAGAAUAGAAGGAGCAAUUAACGGCGGAUCGCAAAGUAAGAAGCUUAUAACAUAAUUGGCAAGGAAGUCGGAUUUUCCGGAUUCACAGACACGAAGCUCGAAUUAUUCCUGAUCGACCACCACUUUUCGUUUUUCGGCUGAAACAUCACAUGCUGGCCAUUCGUCAGCGGCUGAACGAAGAACGAUCUCUGCCCGAUCAACAUCAAGGCGUACACUUCUUCUUUGCAUAUCGUCACGACGACGAAGGAACUCGCGUCUCCUUCCAAGCUGCCUUGUCGAAGAUCGCAGUUCGCCUUGGCGUUACGUCGCUCGGACUUGGUUUUACCCUGGCGCACCCAAUUCACGGUGAAAUUCGACGACAGUAUCAAUCGAUCGUUGUCCAUGGUCCUUAAGGUCCAGUUGCUGAUCUCGAGGAACACCGGCUCUUGGUGGAGAUACUCGCGCCAAGUUUCUCGGUCUUCGUGGGUCGAUCUUCUGUUCCGCGCGCUCUCAUUCGGGAUCACUCGAGGGUAAACGAUCUCGUACUCCUGCAAGCAGGCGGUAACUCGCGUCGAUUAACGAUUCACCACCAGUAAAGUAACCGGGAAUGCAGCAAACUAGUAGUCGGUAGAACGAAGCGGAACGUAAGUGGAGCGAGCGAUAAGAGCGAUCGCGACAAUCGCACGCCUCGCCGUGCGAUUCCCACGCGAACGAAUCAUCAAAUUCGAGCCAAAGAUUCUCACUAACUCGAAGAUUCGCGCCAGUAUUUUCCACGCGCGCGUCACAGAAAUUCGAACGACUUUCGCGAAAAGGACGGAAGGAUAAGACGAUCGAUCGGAUCUCGGGUCGAUCGCGAUACCCCCGGACAGAAGGUUUCGACGAAAAAGUGGAGUAGACGCGACGAAGGAGCGUCGUGCAGCAACUGGUGGCCAAUUUAUUCACCACGUGCCGUAGGAAUUUAAUUUUCUUUCGCGCAACAACGAUCCACCAUCGGAGAAAGUAGAAUAUAAUUAAUUUCGAUCUCGUGUCGAUCGCGACUUUCCGGAUGGAACGUUUCGCCGAAGAGGUGGAAUAAACGCGACGAAGGAGCGUCAUGCAGCAACCGAUGGCCAAUUUUUCCACCACGUGGCACCAUGUGGAAAUUUAAACGUUUCCCAUGAAAAUGAUGCACCAUCGGUGAAAGUAAAAUACGAUAAUUAAUCGGUCGUCGAGUCGAACGUGAUAUCCCGGAUAAAAUUUUUCGAUGAAAAAAGUGGAGUAAACGCGACGAACGAGCUUCGCGUUACGACUGGCAGCCACAUGGACGGAUGAACGCGGCUGGAAACGCACGCGAGUGCAGCGGCGAAUUGUGCGUAAGAGUAAACGCGAACGCGAGACUGGAAAAAGCACCAGCGCUUAUCGCCCGCUGAAGUUCUAAUAAUGGCAGCUUUAUGUGCAAUCACCGAGAAACGAGGAUGCUGGCGAACGCAUUGUUCGACCCCGACCGAGACGAUUUAACAAGGGCCGAGGAUUUCAUCUUGAACGUUGCUCUCGACCCCACCAGAAUUCUUCGCUUUCCCUUGAACCGCGAACUCGAGAAUAUCGUAUUCAGUAAGGCGACGAAUCUAAUGAACGGGAAUUAAAUCUGUUCCGACAGCUUCCUUUGCCUGGAUGAAAGAAUAAGUACGAGAGAUAAAUUAUGUCAGAUAAUGCACAGUGAGUGACUGGCAGAAAAGUCAUAUCUACUUACGUGUAUGAAUUCUAAGUAAAAUUUAUAUUAAACAUUUCUUUUUUUGCCUAUUA